CUGGAGGACUAAGAAAGUGGUACCGAUGAAGUGAACUGGUUCUGCUGAUACUAUCCUCCUAUAUUAAAAUGUAGAGCCCAGAACAGGUCAAUUUGCUUUCCACUGUAGUGUUUGACCUACUUGUUCUACAAACAGUG